GACGAACGCUGGCGGCGUGCUUAACACAUGCAAGUCGAACGGAAAGGCCCUGCUUUUGUGGGGUGCUCGAGUGGCGAACGGGUGAGUAACACGUGAGUAACCUGCCCUUGACUUUGGGAUAACUUCAGGAAACUGGGGCUAAUACCGGAUAGGAGCUCCUGCUGCAUGGUGGGGGUUGGAAAGUUUCGGCGGUUUGGGAUGGACUCGCGGCUUAUCAGCUUGUUGGUGGGGUAGUGGCUUACCAAGGCUUUGACGGGUAGCCGGCCUGAGAGGGUGACCGGCCACAUUGGGACUGAGAUACGGCCCAGACUCCUACGGGAGGCAGCAGUGGGGAAUAUUGAACAAAGGGCGGAAGCCUGAUGCAGCAACGCCGCGUGAGGGAUGACGGCCUUCGGGUUGUAAACCGCUUUCGCCUGUGACGAAGCGGGAGUGAAGGUAAUGGGUAAAGAAGCACCGGCUAACUACGUG
rnacentral:rRNA from 1 species